GAUGACCUCUGGCGGCGUGCCUAACACAUGCAAGUCGAGCGAAGCACUUUGCUUAUAUUCUUUCGGGAUGAAGAGUGAUUUGACUGAGCGGCGGACGGGUGAGUAACGCGUGGGUAACCUGCCUCACACGGGGGGAUAACAGUUAGAAAUGACUGCUAAUACCGCAUAAGACCACAGCACCGCAUGGUGCAGGGGUAAAAACUCCGGUGGUGUGAGAUGGACCCGCGUCUGAUUAGCUAGUUGGUAAGGUAACGGCUUACCAAGGCGACGAUCAGUAGCCGACCUGAGAGGGUGACCGGCCACAUUGGGACUGAGACACGGCCCACACUCCUACGGGAGGCAGCGGUGGGGAAUAUUGCUCUAUGGGGGAAACCCUGAUGCACCGACGCCGCGUGAGUGAAGAAGUAUUUCGGUAUGUAAAAGCUCUUUCAGCAGGGAAGAAAAUGACGGUACCUGACUAAGAAGCACCGGCUAAAUACGUGCCAGCAGCCGCGGUAAUACGUAUGGUGCAAGCGUUAUCCGGAUUUACUGGGUGUAAAGGGAGCGUAGACGGAUAGGCAAGUCUGGAGUGAAAACCCGGGGCUCAACCCCGGGACUGCUUUGGAAACUGUUUAUCUAGAGUGCUGGAGAGGUAAGUGGAAUUCCUAGUGUAGCGGUGAAAUGCGUAGAUAUUAGGAGGAACACCAGUGGCGAAGGCGGCUUACUGGACAGUAACUGACGUUGAGGCUCGAAAGCGUGGGGAGCAAACAG
rnacentral:rRNA from 1 species